rnacentral:rRNA from 1 species
AACGAACGCUGGCGGCAUGCCUAACACAUGCAAGUCGAACGAGACCUUCGGGUCUAGUGGCGCACGGGUGCGUAACGCGUGGGAACCUGCCCUUAGGUUCGGAAUAACUCCCCGCAAGGGGUGCUAAUACCGGAUAAUGUCUUCGGACCUAAGAUUUAUCGCCUUUGGAUGGGCCCGCGUUGGAUUAGCUUGUUGGUAGGGUAAAAGCCUACCAAGGUGACGAUCCAUAGCUGGUCUGAGAGGAUGAUCAGCCACACUGGGACUGAGACACGGCCCAGACGCCGACGGGAGGCAGCAGUGUGGAAUAUUGGACAAUGGGCGAAAGCAUGGUCCAGCAAUGCCGCGUGAGUGAUGAAGGCCUUAGGGUUGUAAAGCUCUUUGACCCGGGAUGAUAAUGACAGUACCGGGAGAAUAAGCGCCGGCUAACUCCGUG